UGACAAGUUAAUUAAUUUGUCUUUUCUCUUACCUAAGCAUUCCUGCCACUCAAAACUUUCCUGAACUCCCAAACGGUGCCUCGUUCGGAUGCAAGACUUCUCAGUAUUGUGAUGCGGGCGACUUCUGUUUCCAGGCUCCAGGACGAGAGACGCGGGGACCAGGUCUCAAGUGCGGGCUUGCUGCUGCGGGCAGAAGGUGCGUGCUCGGCUCCCCGGGACUGCACCGUCUGGAGCUCACACCAAGUGACAAAUGAAAGUGAAACGAAGUUGCUCAGUCGUGUCCGACUCUGCGACCCCGUGGACUGUAGCCUACCAGGCUCCUCUGUCCAUGGGAUUUUCCAGGCAGUAGUACUGGAGUGGGGUGCCAUUUCCUUCUCCAGCGGACCUUCCUGACCCAGGGACGGAAUCCAGGUCUCCCGCAUUGUAGGCAGACGCCUUACCGUCUGAGCCACCAGGGAAGUCGGACAAACGAAAAGGGCCCCAGGGCGUGACAUCUGCGUUUUAGAUCGUUGUGCUUUCACAGCUGUGAAUUCUUUCUAACUGAAAACCUUGCCUUUUAGUUUCUUGGUGCUCUCUUCAUUCAAGGACGGCACCCGGGUGCUUCCCAAAUGCUCACAGCGCCUGAUUAUGUAGACGCAGCAAGCCUCCUGGAUCCUGUGCCCUUGAACUGUACCGGCCUGGUGCUUACAACACAUUUUGAAGCAGGCCUUGACACUGUGGGCCUUCAGCCUGAGGCAGAACGUCAUCUGGGCGCUCUGAGCAUGGAAAUAAUGAAAAAUAAUGUUCAGCGGAUGUCACAAGCGAUUCACCACUCGGACAGUGAUGGUUUUCAGCGUAGGCCGAAAUGAGGUUAUUUUCUUCUGCUCCAAAACAUCCUGGAAAUAGCCUGCCUCCUGAAUUCUGGGGACAGCUCAGGAGGGAGAGGUGAUGGGCAAGUUAAUAUUGAUGCUGGGUUCCCCCCACUAUUUUAUGAUGAAAAUUUCAAAUGUACAGAGCAGAUUUAAAAAUUGCAGUGAACACUCAUAUGCCUACUGUCUAGAUUCAACAUUCGCUCUACUGGUCUGAUCUUAUAUAACUAUCUGAUCCUGCUUGUGCCCUCACAGACAGAUCAAUC
ensembl:lncRNA